AUAAGCCCCUACAACAACGCUCUCUCUCUCUCUCUUAAGGCCCACAAGCAAAGAACCCCAACUAACUAAGACCAAGGCGACGCGAUGGUGUGGCCGUUCAACCUUCAAGUUGAUUCACGACUCUUUACCCCGUUUUCCUGAGGUUCGGCAGCAUAUUGAGACGACUGAUACCCUUAAGUAGGUUGCCCAUAUUGAGCUCCAUACGUUUGUACGGGAGGUCAAUGUCGGGUUCCAUACGGAGAAGCCGCCCAUUGUUGCACGUCGUCGGUCUUCGUGUUCGGUCCGACGUCUCCUUCAUAAGGUCCUAGCCACUACUGAUGGCAAGGCAGUCAGUUCACUGACUUCGAAACCGAGUCCGUCCGGAACUUAGAAGUUUAGAAUAACAUCCGUAACUAAAAUGUUUUUCAUUACUUACCUGUCCAUUUUAAAGGAUAUUGGCGGCGACAGAUGUACUAUAACCUUUGUGAGGUUUGGGUAUACUCGUUCGGUAUAGAUAAUAACCUUCCUGUGAAAGUCGAAAACUACUUCUGUUAAACUAAGGGACGAAACCUAAACCACUACGUAGUUGAGUACUGGUCCUCCAUAAGUCGAAAAUAGGUCUCUUGGUUGGUACGUUACCUAAACUUCUCCGUAACCUUUCUAUGUCUCUUUAACAAGGUUGAGAAGCUAAUCGACCUGGUUGUAGAAAGCGAGGUUAUUAACUCUGUCGUUAACCCUAACGUCUGUCGUGGCCGCCAGUUAUAGUACAAGAAGACUAUUAACGACUACCUGUCCAAUGAGCUUCACACCUAUGUGUCAGACCCGUCAAUUCAGGCGUCCUCGCCCUAUGGUAACUACGAUAUCACUUUCGAUCGGUGAAAGGGAACAGAUAACAAGAACAACCCCAGCCACUACCUGGUACCCUAUACUACGUAUUCAAACUGCUGUUGUAUGGCCGAGCCAGUAAGCUGUUAAAGGUCAAACACUUAAAGUGCCUUUAAUACAGUUUCUCGUAUCGUCGACUAUCUUUUCUCCGACUUAAACGUAACAGUCGUAACUACCUUUAGGGAUGCGUCAUGUUUCGUUGUGAACUAGAGGUUGAGGAACCAGCAGCGGUUCCUUAUGGAGGUUCUCAAGGAGACGGAGGUGGUUGUUCCUGAGUAAUAAGUGCCAGAUGAUCGAAACUGGUUGUCAGACCACAAAUAAGUGCCAGAUCAUCGAAACCAGUUGUUUGUUCACCCAAAGUCGUUAGUCUAUCAAAGUUUGUCGCUGUCGUACCUCGAUGUUCCUCCGGACUGUCAAUAAGUAGACUUUCAAGUGUCGGACGCCGAAGUUCCUAUGGGCUGUGAAUACGUAGUCUUUCAAGUCUUUCGUGUGAAAGUACGCGGUAUACAUACCUAUUUAGUUUCCUAGAACGUAAACCUACACCCGUAGUCUGAACGAUACUGACGCCCUUUUUAAACCACGCGACGGGAUACACGGUCGUCGUGUAUUGGUGGUCCUAGUCCGACAUAACUAAUUUUCGACUAGAGGACUACGAAAACUUCGGAUACCACAACGGUUAUGACUUCUUCGAGCCACCUUUUACAAGUCUUAGGCGUAUUUAAAAUCACAAGAAUGACGUCAACCUCACAGAAGUUAAUCGACCACUAAAUUCCGGGACAACCUUACGUCCCAAAUAAGAGGUAGGGAAUUCCCUUUACACCUAACUUACAAAGCCAUUUGAAAGACACAAGGUUUUCCCGAGAACGACAGGUAUGUUCCGUGACUUCUUACAAGGGACCUUUUAUUACAUGUAUAACGAAAGAAAAGAAAGAGAACAUUUAUUUUACUUGUCAUCUUUUUUAAGUCCUACUUGGUUGAUCCUUCUGUAAACGCAACAUAUAAUUAAUUUUGGACAAUAUUAACAACUUAUAAGUUAAAAUAUGAUUAAAUAA
rnacentral:rRNA from 1 species